rnacentral:rRNA from 1 species
AUUGAACGCUGGCGGCAUGCUUUACACAUGCAAGUCGAACGGUAACAGGCCGCAAGGUGCUGACGAGUGGCGAACGGGUGAGUAAUGCAUCGGAACGUGCCCAGUCGUGGGGGAUAACGCAGCGAAAGCUGCGCUAAUACCGCAUACGAUCUAUGGAUGAAAGCGGGGGACCGUAAGGCCUCGCGCGAUUGGAGCGGCCGAUGUCAGAUUAGGUAGUUGGUGGGGUAAAGGCUCACCAAGCCAACGAUCUGUAGCUGAUCUGACAGGACGACCAGCCACACUGGGACGCAGACACAGCCCAUACUCCUACGGGAGGCAGCAGUGGGGAAUUUUAGACAAUGGGUGCAAGCCUGAUCCAGCCAUGCCGCGUGCAGGAUGAAGGCCUUCGGGUUGUAAACUGCUUUUGUACGGAACGAAAAGACUCCUUCUAAUAAAGGGGGUCCAUGACGGUACCGUAAGAAUAAGCACCGGCUAACUACGUGCCAGCAGCCGCCGCCGUAA